GAUGAACGCUGGCGGCGUGCUUAACACAUGCAAGUCGAACGAAGCACUUUAUUUGAUUUCCUUCGGGACUGAUUAUUUUGUGACUGAGUGGCGGACGGGUGAGUAACGCGUGGGUAACCUGCCUUGUACAGGGGGAUAACAGUUGGAAACGGCUGCUAAUACCGCAUAAGCGCACAGCAUCGCAUGAUGCAGUGUGAAAAACUCCGGUGGUAUAAGAUGGACCUGCGUUGGAUUAGCUAGUUGGUGAGGUAACGGCCCACCAAGGCGACGAUCCAUAGCCGACCUGAGAGGGUGACCGGCCACAUUGGGACGGAGACACGGCCCAAACUCCUACGGGAGGCAGCAGUGGGGAAUAUUGCACAAUGGGCGAAAGCAUGAUGCAGCGACGCCGCGUGAGCGAAGAAGUAUUUCGGUAUGUAAAGCUCUAUCAGCAGGGAAGAUAAUGACGGUACCUGACUAAGAAGCACCGGCUAAAUACGUG
rnacentral:rRNA from 1 species